rnacentral:piRNA from 1 species
UGUGGUGAAAUAGUGGGAAGGAUUCA